rnacentral:rRNA from 1 species
GUUGGUGGGGUAAUGGCCUACCAAGGCGACGACCGGUAACCGGUCUGAGAGGCUGACCGGUCACACUGGAACUGAGAUACGGGCCAGACUCCUACGGGAGGCAGCAGUGGGGAAUAUUGGACAAUGGGCGCAAGCCUGAUGCAGCGACGCCGCGUGGGUGAUGACGGUCUUCGGAUUGUAAAGCUCUUUCAGUAUGGGGGAAGCUGCAGGAUUCUUCUUGGUUUGACGCUAGGUACAGAACAAGCACCGGCUAACUUCGUGCCAGCAGCCGCGGUAAUACGAAGGGUGCAAGCGUUGAUCGGAAUUACUGGGCGUAAAGAGCGCGUAGGUGGUUCCGCAAGUUGGAUGUGAAAACCCAUGGCUUAACUGGGGGCGUGCAUGCGAAACGGGCAGACUGGAGUACUGUAGGGGAGAGUGGAAUUUCCUGGUGUAGCGGUGGAAUGCGCAGAUAUCAGGAAGGAACACCGGUGGCGAAGGCGAGUCUCUGGGCUGUAACUGACGCUGAGGAGCGAAAGCGUGGGGAGCGAACAGGAUUAGAUACCCUGGUAGUCCACGCCGUAAACGGUGUCUACUAGGGGUGGGUUUCCUUCCUUUAGGGAUCCGUGCCGCAGCUAACGCAUUAAGUACCCCGCCUGGGGAGUACGGCCGCAAGGUUAAAACUCAAUGGAAUUGACGGGGGCCCGCGCAAGCGGUGGAGCAUGUGGUUUAAUUCGAUGCAACGCGAAGAACCUUACCUGG